rnacentral:rRNA from 1 species
AAUCGAACCCGGAGAUAGCUGGUUCUCCUCGAAAUAGCUUUAGGGCUAGCCUCAUAUAAGUCUUGCGGAGGUAGAGCACUGAAUUUCCUAGGGGGCGUCAAAGCUUACCGAAGAAUAUCAAACUCCGAAUGCCGUGUAGAUGGUGUAUGGGAGUCAGACUGUACGAGAUAAGUUGGACAGUCAAAAGGGAAAGAGCCCAGACCGCCGGCUAAGGUCCCAAAGUGGGUGUUAAGUGGAAAAGGAUGUGGGAUCUCUAAGACAACCAGGAUGUUGGCUCAGAAGCAGCCAUUCAUUAAAAGAGUGCGUAACAGCUCACUGGUCGAGAGGUCCUGCGCCGAAAAUGUCCGGGGCUGAAACACCACACCGAAGCCGCGGAACCCGUAAGGGUUGGUAGAGGAGCAUUCUUAGGGGAGCGAAGCAUUACCGGAAGGGGAUGUGGACCGCUAAGAAGAGAGAAUGCCGGAAUGAGUAGCGAGAGCAAGGUGGGAAUCCUUGCGGCCGAAUAUCCAAGGUUUCCAGAGUAAAGCUGAUCUGCUCUGGGUAAGUCGGGGCCUAAGGAGAGGCAGAGAUGCGUAUCCGAUGGACAGCAGGUUUAAGAUUCCUGCACCCCUUGUUAUCAGAACUGCGGGGACACGGGAAGGGAAGCAGAGCCGGGAAUGGAAAGCCCGGUGCAAGCGAAGUAGUCGCAGGGUUGGAAAAUCCGCCCUGCAUGAGACGAAGGCGUGAUGCGGAGCGAAAUGAAGUAGUGAAGCUGCGGCCCCUUCCUGUCGAGAAAAGCCGCUAUCGUGUAGCAAGGGCCCGUACCGUAAACCGACACAGGUGGAUGAGGAGAGGAUCCUAAGGCCGGCGGGAGAAGUGUUGUUAAGGAACUCGGCAAAAUGACUCCGUAACUUCGGGAGAAGGAGUGCUGCGCAAGCAGCCGCAGAGAAAUGGCCCAAGCAACUGUUUAGCAAAAACACAGGUCUAUGCGAAACCGAAAGGUGAGGUAUAUGGGCUGACGCCUGCCCGGUGCUGGAAGGUUAAGGGGAGAGGUUAGCGCAAGCGAAGCUUUGAACUUAAGCCCCAGUAAACGGCGGCCGUAACUAUAACGGUCCUAAGGUAGCGAAAUUCCUUGUCGGGUAAGUUCCGACCCGCACGAAAGGCGUAAUGAUUUGGGCACUGUCUCAACAACACACCCGGUGAAAUUGAAAUACCAGUGAAGAUGCUGGUUACCCGCGCCAGGACGGAAAGACCCCAUGGAGCUUUACUCCAGCCUGAUACUGGGAUUCGGUAUUGCAUGUACAGGAUAGGUGGGAGGCUAAGAACUCAUGGCGCCAGCCGUGAGGGAGCCGAUGUUGGGAUACCACCCCUGCAGUACUGGGUUUCUAACCUGCGCCCGUGACCCGGGCGGGGGACAAUGUCAGGCGGGGAGUUUGACUGGGGCGGUCGCCUCCGAAAGGGUAUCGGAGGCGCUCAAAGGUUCCCUCAGAAUGGUUGGAAACCAUUCGAAGAGUGCAAAGGCAGAAGGGAGCUUGACUGCGACACCGACGGGUGGAGCAGGUACGAAAGUAGGACUUAGUGAUCCGGUGGCAUAAAGUGGGAUUGCCAUCGCUCAACGGAUAAAAGCUACCCUGGGGAUAACAGGC